rnacentral:rRNA from 1 species
GAUGAACGCUGGCGGCGUGCCUAAUACAUGCAAGUCGAGCGAACGGACGAUAAGCUUGCUUCUCUGAUGUUAGCGGCGGACGGGUGAGUAACACGUGGAUAACCUACCUAUAAGACUGGGAUAACUUCGGGAAACCGUAGCUAAUACCGGAUAAUAUUUUGAACCGCAUGGUUCAAAAGUGAAAGACGGUUUUGCUGUCACUUAUAGAUGGAUCCGCGCUGCAUUAGCUAGUUGGUAAGGUAACGGCAUACCAAGGCGACGAUGCAUAGCCGACCUGAGAGGGUGAUCGGCCACACUGGAACUGAGACACGGUCCAGACUCCUACGGGAGGCAGCAGUAGGGAAUCUUCCGCAAUGGGCGAAAGCCUGACGGAGCAACGCCGCGUGAGUGAUGAAGGUCUUCGGGUCGUAAAACUCUGUUAUUGGGGAAGAACAUAUGUGUAAGUAACUGUGCACAUCUUGACGGUACCUAAUCAGAAAGCCACGGCUAACUACGUG